GAUGAACGCUGGCGGCGUGCCUAACACAUGCAAGUCGAGCGGGAAGUUAUUAAAUGAGAUUUCGGUCAAGUGAGAUAAUGGAGAGCGGCGGACGGGUGAGUAACGCGUAGGCAACCUGCCCCAUACAGAGGGAUAGCCUCGGGAAACCGGGAUUAAAACCUCAUAACACGACGGAUUCACAUGUUUCUGUCGUCAAAGAUUUAUCGGUAUGGGAUGGGCCUGCGUCUGAUUAGCUAGUUGGUAAGGUAACGGCUUACCAAGGCAACGAUCAGUAGCCGACCUGAGAGGGUAAUCGGCCACAUUGGAACUGAGACACGGUCCAAACUCCUACGGGAGGCAGCAGUGGGGAAUAUUGCACAAUGGGCGGAAGCCUGAUGCAGCAACGCCGCGUGAGCGAUGAAGGCCUUUGGGUCGCAAAGCUCUGUCCUAGGGGAAGAAAAAAAUGACGGUACCCUUGGAGGAAGCCCCGGCUAACUACGUGCCAGCAGCCGCGGUAAUAC
rnacentral:rRNA from 1 species